rnacentral:rRNA from 1 species
UACGGGGGGGGCAAGCGUUGUUCGGAAUUACUGGGCGUAAAGGGCUCGUAGGCGGCCAACUAAGUCAGACGUGAAAUCCCUCGGCUUAAACCGGGGGAACUGCAUCUGAUACUGGAUGGCUUGAGUUCGGGAGAGGUGAGUGGAAUUCCCAGUGUAGCGGUGAAAUGCGUAGAUAUUUGGGAGGAACACCAGUGGCGAAGGCGGCUCACUGGACCGGAACUGACGCUGAGGCGCGAAAGCGUGGGGAGCAAACAGG